AUCCAAAGGUUACGGAGCAGGAGACUACACUGUUCCCGGACUUGCCAAUGGAUAUGGAGCUGGCCUUGGAUAUCCUUAUGGAGGGCAACAUCAGCUACCUGGUCAUGGGCAAGGAGUGUACCUCGGAGCUGGAUAUGGAAAAGGAAAUUCAUAUGGAGGUCUGGGUGAAGCAGGCAAGUCCAAAUCAGGGUAUGGAAAUGGCUACAGUGCUGGUGUGCAGCCUGACUAUGCAAGU